UACGGGGGGAGCAAGCGUUGUUCGGAUUUACUGGGCGUAAAGGGCGCGUAGGCGGUCGUGACAAGUCACUUGUGAAAUCUCCGGGCUUAACUCGGAAAGGUCAAGUGAUACUGUCGGACUAGAGUACAGAAGGGGCAACUGGAAUUCUCGGUGUAGCGGUGAAAUGCGUAGAUAUCGGGAAGAACACCCGUGGCGAAGGCGGCUCUCUGGGACGGUACUGACGCUGAGACGCGAAAGCGUGGGGAGCGAACAGG
rnacentral:rRNA from 1 species